AACGAACGCUGGCGGCGUGGAUAAGACAUGCAAGUCGAACGGGACAUUAUUUGUAGCAAUACAGAUGAUGUUCAGUGGCGCAAGGGUGAGUAACACGUGAGCAACCUGCCUUGAAGUGGGGGAUAGCUCGCCGAAAGGCGAAUUAAUACCGCAUGUGGUAGUAAUACUAAAGCCGGGGCAACCUGGCGCUUCUAGAGGGACUCGCGGCCUAUCAGCUAGUUGGUAAGGUAAUGGCUUACCAAGGCUAUGACGGGUAGCUGGUCUGAGAGGACGACCAGCCACACUGGAACUGAGACACGGUCCAGACACCUACGGGUGGCAGCAGUCGAGAAUUUUUCUCAAUGGGGGAAACCCUGAAGGAGCGACGCCGCGUGGAGGAUGAAGGUCUUCGGAUUGUAAACUCCUGUCAUUGGUGAACAAAGUCACAGGUUAACUACCUUGUGAUCUGCUAGUAGCCGAAGAGGAAGGGACGGCUAACUCUGUGC
rnacentral:rRNA from 1 species